CACCGCGGUUAUACGAGAGACUCAAGUUGAUAACCUUCGGCGUAAAGAGUGGUUAAGGGAAUACUAUACUAAAGCUAAAUGACUUCAAAGCUGUUAUACGCACACGAAAGUACGAAGCCCAACUACGAAAGUGGCUUUAACCCUCUGACCCCACGAAAGCUAGGAUA
rnacentral:rRNA from 1 species